CGCCCCUCACGUCUCCACGCGGGAAAGUUGCUUCCUGACUCUGAGCUCUCCCCCGGCUCGGGCAGCCGAGUGCAGUGAUCAUUCCCGAUCCCAAAAGCGUCUCUACGCCCCUUGGGGAGUGCGAAGAGUGCAGCGUCCUUGGAAGCCAGCUUUGAGCAAGGCACCUGACCUUCCAGGACUUGAGGAGGCGCCUCAGAGAAACCCUGCCUCACUGUCUGCUCGCGUCUCAGACAUCUGUCUACAUGGAGUCUACAGACCUUCUUUGGGAAGAGGAAUCGUAGGAGAACUAUUGACUUUCUUCAAGCAGUAUCAUGGCUGGAUUUGUGUUUUAGGAUAAUCUCCUUGGCUCCUGUGUGGGGUAGAUUCAGAAGGACCUAGGGGAAGGAGUGAUUCAUCUGAAGAAGCAGACAGAGUUCAUCAGUCAGCAUGGGGGAGGGGAGCUGAUCGUUCCACCACAGGGAACACCAGAAGUGGAGUGUGGAGGCCCUGUCUUGAUACUUUCCUGCAAGGAGCUACCUGCCGAGUGGAGGUCAGGACAUAAUUUUGAGCUCUUGGCAUAAUUAUUUUGAUGAAGUGCAUCCCAAGAUGAGAGCCUCACUGAAGUCUAUUUGACAAGAACGCAGAGCAGUAAAGGGGAGAAGAAAGCUGGGUGUGCAGCUCAGAAGCCACAGAUAAAUGGGGUCUAUUCACAAGGCAGUGUGAAAAACGGGAGAGUGAUGGUAGCCAUUUUGCAAGGUGCGGGACUUAUGGACUCAUAAGUCUUUUAGAACUUGGCAAUUGUGCUUCAAAAUGAUGGAGAAAAAUGAGCAAGUGACUGCACACCAAAUAUAACCCACCUUUCUGAGAGCAGGAAGCAGGAGCCCACGCUCAUGCCUCAUGUGGCAUUUCUGUGCACGAUCCAUCAUCUGGGCUGGGGAAUUCACAGGCCUUGGAAACCUCUGCAGAGCUUCAAAGGAUGUAAAGAUUGAGCUACAGCUUUGACAAUUUCUGAGCUCUUGCUGUGGCUGAGAUCAAGGAAUCAUAGUUAAUCACCAAGGGGUUGGUGGAUGCUGCUGCCACAUCUCCACACAAAGCACCAAGGCCAACCCAGCCCAAAGCUAGAAGACCACAGGACCUGGGCAUAUUGACAGCUACUCAUGGGUCUGAAAAGAAGGAGUGUGUCCCAAGCACUGAAGAGGCUUCUGCAAGUCUCCUGUGCCUUCUGAACAUGCCUCAGGAAGCUGUUCUCCAGCUGUUACCUAGGAAUUUGAGAUUUAAGGCUUGAAGCUUAAAGACCAUGGAAUCACUGGCAUCUCAUUGGGAACUGAGACAGUGGAUAUGGACACACUUUGAAAGAUGUAACAAAUAAAAGCAGAGAUUAUUACGGA